CAUCAUCAGGUUCAUUUUAUGCUUAAUCAGUUGUCCCCAUCAAAUUAGGAAAAGUCCUGAAAUAUGAAGCAAAAAAAGUCAACUAUUAUUUUUUGAAUGAUAAACAUUGAGUGGGGUCAAAUUGACCCAAAGGAUAAAGCGAGAAU